rnacentral:misc_RNA from 1 species
UUUACUUUAUGAUCUCAAAAUGCAAUGGACAACUUAGUGAAAACCAAAGCUAAGCUAUAAUUCAAAUCUAUAUAUAUAAUUGUCUUCAAGUUAACCUGCUAAAAUCUAAUCAUUGUAUGGUGAAAAUAGAAAGUUGAAUACAUGAAUCAGGUCAAUCAAACUUUUAUGACGAGCUUCCGAAGAAGUUUUCUGUCCUGAGAUAGGUGCACUACUAUUUUCCAAUGCUAUGGGUGGCUUACCAUCCUCUAGCUCUUAUGAGUUGAAAGCUUAGACAACUGCAAGGAUUUAUUGCCACUGUCAUCUAUAGAAGCAGACCUCAAACAACUGCCAAAACCACUGAUAUGGAGUACAAGUUGAUGAUUCUCUCAUGACAAUAGAGGUGAGGGAAGCCUUGGAUUCAAGUUGAUAUUUGAACAAUAGUAUGCAAAAGAGGCUGGAUCAGAGCGCAGUUGUUCUUCAGACUCACAAUUCUCACUGGCACUGCUUAAACUUUCCAAGCCAGAACUCAUGCUAAGUUUUGUUCAGCAUAAUGGUUACCAAUAGUUGCAAAUGAGGCUGGAUCAGAGCGCAGUUGUUCUUCAGACUCACAAUUCUCACUGGCACUGCUUAAACUUUCCAAGCCAGAACUCAUGCUAAGUUUUGUUCAGCAUAAUGGUUACCAAUAGUUGCAAAUGACCCCUCUACACAUGGCGGUGCACUGCCACUUCAACCAGGAACCGUAUCUGUUUGAUAUCCAUGGAAUCUUUGCCCCCUCAUGAGCAAUACCAAGUUCACUGUUGCCAUAUUAUUUAAGGACGACCGAAAUAUGGCUGCAUCCUUACAAAGGGCCACUUUCUAGCUCCAAUAGUCUCCACCAUUCUCAUAGGGCUCUCCAUUGCCAUCCUGCUUAGAGGCUAUGCAAAGCCCUUGUUCUUCUUUUCUUUUCUUAGACGAAAAAGAAAGUCACAUUAUUCCCUCCAUUGAUGCAGAGCCAUAUGCGGCAUUCAGCAAUUUAAAGUUGCCAUAAGAAAAGAAAAAUAGAAAUAAGAAUAAUAAAAUUGUAUGAUUAGAAGAGGAAAGACAACCAGCUUAAGUGAGAAUGCCUACAAAAAAGUUUUAAUCCUACUCAAAUUUAAGUUCACAUUUUCUCUCAUCAUGAACUCCACAUCAAUUUUAAUAGAAUAUCUCUAUACACUACCCCAGUCCUUGUUCCCAAAAACUCGCUUCCAAACUAGCAAAAGUCUAGGUCACAACAUUUUGCAUAACCCAGCCAAAUCAAAAUGGAUAAAGAUUACACUCCACAAAUAUCUCUAGCAACAAUAUAAUGAAUUUACAGAUGAUCCAUCGUUGCUCCCUAUACUGCUAUACAUGAAAAGCUAGUUAACAAUGGAAAAAAAUGAUAAAGCAACAAAAUGAGUCUCGCAGCAGAUAUUUGACCCAUCCAGAAUCUACAACAUGGCAUA